GGGUAGUUUGACUGGGGCGGUCUCCUCCUAAAGAGUAACGGAGGAGCACGAAGGUUGGCUAAUCCUGGUCGGACAUCAGGAGGUUAGUGCAAUGGCAUAAGCCAGCUUGACUGCGAGCGUGACGGCGCGAGCAGGUGCGAAAGCAGGUCAUAGUGAUCCGGUGGUUCUGAAUGGAAGGGCCAUCGCUCAACGGAUAAAAGGUACUCCGGGGAUAACAGGCUGAUACCGCCCAAGAGUUCAUAUCGACGGCGGUGUUUGGCACCUCGAUGUCGGCUCAUCACAUCCUGGGGCUGAAGUAGGUCCCAAGGGUAUGGCUGUUCGCCAUUUAAAGUGGUACGCGAGCUGGGUUUAGAACGUCGUGAGACAGUUCGGUCCCUAUCUGCCGUGGGCGCUGGAGAACUGAGGGGGGCUGCUCCUAGUACGAGAGGACCGGAGUGGACGCAUCACUGGUGUUCGGGUUGUCAUGCCAAUGGCACUGCCCGGUAGCUAAAUGCGGAAGAGAUAAGUGCUGAAAGCAUCUAAGCACGAAACUUGCCCCGAGAUGAGUUCUCCCUGACUCCUUGAGGGUCCUGAAGGAACGUUGAAGACGACGACGUUGAUAGGCCGGGUGUGUAAGCGCAGCGAUGCGUUGAGCUAACCGGUACUAAUGAACCGUGAGGCUUAACCUUACAACGCCGAAG
rnacentral:rRNA from 1 species